AUUUACCAUCUCUACCACAAAUCAAAACAAAACAAAGUUAUAUGCACAUCAAGCAAACUAAGACAAUUCGACGAAAUUGGUGGCUUCGAUGUCCUUGCCACGACGCACCCACCCAACCUUGGGUGCCCCAAGAAAGAUGUGAGAGGCACACCCCAUCUCCGGCAGACCGGAGUCUAUUCCUGGUGGAUUAGGAUCGGCUCAUCUCCCCGCCCAAGAAACUCUUAAGGCCGAUCUCAGACCGUCGCCCAGAUGAGAAGCGGUCAAAGCGGCAACAACCGAAGGGGAAAUUUUUAGACGCUUAAAGUUCCAAGUGUCAGGCAAAGUCGCCGCACGGCACUAAAUUGGAGGCGUUUGCCAACCGGGUCGCCUAAUCCUGAGGAGCUCCAAGGGAAAAGAAGGGACGUGCUGAUAAGGUAAGUACGCUAAACAAAUCCCACAAGUUAUUAAAUUUCGCGACCCAAUUUAGAUGUAGUUGGACGCGCGGCUAGGGUUCGGGCUUGAGCCUCUAAUUUUAGAUUAGAUUUCACAAGUUCAACGUCGGAUGUGGUUGAAACUGCAGCAGAAAAAAACGCUGACGGCGAAAACCAGCGCGAGUCCGCACGGGGCCAAUUGGUCCGGGGGAUAGCGUAGCGUGGCCGGAAGCAGGGCGUCGGUGGACUUGGAGAUGACCACGUGGCCAGCGCGGGCAUUCGUUCCCGGAACGGACUCACCGAGGGAAUCUCCGUAUCUGGCCGUCUUGGAGGCAGUCGCUGUAGCUGCUGGCGCUUGAGGCUGCUGCUGCUGCUACUGAUCGCUGCUGCUGCGGCUGAUGCUGCUGCGGCUAAUGCUGCUGCGGCUGAUGCUGCUGCGGCUGUUGCUGCUGCGGCUAAUGCUGCUGCGGCUGGUGUUGCUGCUGCUGAUGCUGCUGCGGCUGAUGUUGCCGCUGCUGAUGCUGCGGCGGCUGGUGGACGACGACCAGGUUAGGUCCGCCUGGUAAGUUUUCACUUCCCAAAUCUUUUAAAUUUCCGGGGCCCUUUAGUUAGGGUCCCCGGCGGCUUCAAUAUAAAAAAAAAACACUGUAAUUUACAAGUUCCGGACUAAUAAAUAACCACUCACUUUGAGUUAUUCAAACACUAA